rnacentral:tRNA from 1 species
GGUGGCUCAGUGGUAGAGUGCUUGCCUUGCAUGCAUGAGUACCUGGGUUCAAUUCCUCAGCACCA